UCUCCAGUUUACAGAACACAGAAGAUUGUCAUCUCACAGGAAAUAGUCACAUUACUGCCGCCUGCAGGACUGGAGAACUGAAAGAACUACAGUGCACUGCUUCGGAUUCCAGAGUCUGGAGGAAGAGAGGAGAGGCACACAAUCCACGUUGCUUGAGGUCCAGUGUAAAGUUUCCACAGUCAGGACUUGGCACCUGCACACAGUGCCAAAGCUUCCAGUACCUGGUUUAAGAACCAUGGUAUGCCUGUUCUUAAUUGGCCAGCAAACUCGCCUCACCUUAUACCCACAGAAAAUCUAUGGGGUAUUGUGAAGAAGAAGAUGCGGUAUGCCAGACCCAUCAA